rnacentral:ncRNA from 1 species
AAUGUAGAGGUCGCAAUUCUCAAGAGUACAUAUUUUAGCAGACAUGCCGAGAUGAUAUGGAAAGGGAGCGUUGCCGAAAUGUGAUGUGCGGUGGCAUAUCAUGUUGGGGAUACGUAAAACAUACGUAUAACUGUCAUGGAAAUGGAGUACUACA